rnacentral:rRNA from 1 species
GGCGAACGGGUGAUUAAUACGUGAGUAACCUGCCCUCGACUCUGGGAUAAGCCUGGGAAACCGGGUCUAAUACUGGAUACUACUGCUCACCGCAUGGUGGGUGGUGGAAAGGGUUUACUGGUUUUGGAUGGGCUCACGGCCUAUCAUCUUGUUGGUGGGGUAAUGGCUCACCAAGGCGACGACGGGUACCCGGCCUGAGAGGGUGACCGGCCACACUGGGACUGACACACGGCCCACACUCCUACGGGAGGCAGCAGUGGGGAAUAUUGCACAAUGGGCGGAAGCCUGAUGCAGCCACCCCGCGUGAGGGAUGACGGCCUUCGGGUUGUAAACCUCUUUCAGUAGGGAAGAAGCGAAAGUGACGGUACCUGCAAAAAAAGCGCCGGCUAACUACGUGCCAACAGCCGCGGUAAUACGUAGGGCGCAAGCGUUGUCCGGAAUUAUUGGGCGUAAAGAGCUCGUAGGCGGUCUGUCGCGUCUGCUGUGAACCCCGGGGCUCACCCCGGGUCUGCAGUGGGUACGGGCAAACUAGAGUGCAGUAGGGGAGACUGGAAUUCCUGGUGUAGCGGUGAAGUGCGCAGAUAUCGGGAGGAACACCGAUGGAGAAGGAAUGUCUCUGGGCUGUUACUGACUCUGAGGAGCGAAACCGUGGGGAGCAAACAGGAUUAUAUACCCGUGGAACUCCCUGCCAUACACGUUGGGCACUAGGUGGGGGGGAUAUCCUCGUCCUCCGCCCGGUACUAACACAAUAAUUGCCCUCCCUGGGGAGAAUGGCCGCAGGGCUAAAA